UACGUAGGGUGCGAGCGUUGUCCGGAAUUAUUGGGCGUAAAGAGCUCGUAGGCGGUUUUGUUGCGUCGGCCGUGAAAAACUCAGGGCUUAACUUGAGCCUGCGGUCGAUACGGGCAGACUUGAGUUCGGUAGGGGGAGACUGGAAUUCCUGGUGUAGCGGUGAAAUGCGCAGAUAUCAGGAGGAACACCGGUGGCGAAGGCGGGUCUCUGGGCCGAUACUGACGCUGAGGAGCGAAAGCGUGGGGGAGCGAACAGGA
rnacentral:rRNA from 1 species